rnacentral:rRNA from 1 species
UGCUUAACACAUGCAAGUCGAACGAUGAAGCCCAGCUUGCUGGGUGGAUUAGUGGCGAACGGGUGAGUAACACGUGAGUAACCUGCCCUUGACUCUGGGAUAAGCGCUGGAAACGGCGUCUAAUACCGGAUACGACCUACCCCGGCAUCGGGUGUGGGUGGAAAGUUUUUCGGUCAAGGAUGGACUCGCGGCCUAUCAGCUUGUUGGUGAGGUAAUGGCUCACCAAGGCGACGACGGGUAGCCGGCCUGAGAGGGUGACCGGCCACACUGGGACUGAGACACGGCCCAGACUCCUACGGGAGGCAGCAGUGGGGAAUAUUGCACAAUGGGCGAAAGCCUGAUGCAGCAACGCCGCGUGAGGGAUGACGGCCUUCGGGUUGUAAACCUCUUUUAGUAGGGAAGAAGGGCUUCGGCUUGACGGUACCUGCAGAAAAAGCACCGGCUAACUACGUGCCAGCAGCCGCGGUAAUACGUAGGGUGCAAGCGUUGUCCGGAAUUAUUGGGCGUAAAGAGCUCGUAGGCGGUUUGUCGCGUCUGCUGUGAAAACCCGAGGCUCAACCUCGGGCCUGCAGUGGGUACGGGCAGACUAGAGUGCGGUAGGGGAGAAUGGAAUUCCUGGUGUAGCGGUGGAAUGCGCAGAUAUCAGGAGGAACACCGAUGGCGAAGGCAGUUCUCUGGGCCGUAACUGACGCUGAGGAGCGAAAGCGUGGGGAGCGAACAGGAUUAGAUACCCUGGUAGUCCACGCCGUAAACGUUGGGCGCUAGAUGUGGGGACCUUUCCACGGUUUCCGUGUCGCAGCUAACGCAUUAAGCGCCCCGCCUGGGGAGUACGGCCGCAAGGCUAAAACUCAAAGGAAUUGACGGGGGCCCGCACAAGCGGCGGAGCAUGCGGAUUAAUUCGAUGCAACGCGAAGAACCUUACCAAGGCUUGACAUAUACGAGAACGGGCCAGAAAUGGUCAACUCUUUGGACACUCGUAAACAGGUGGUGCAUGGUUGUCGUCAGCUCGUGUCGUGAGAUGUUGGGUUAAGUCCCGCAACGAGCGCAGCCCUCGUUCUAUGUUGCCAGCACGUUAUGGUGGGAACUCAUAGGAGACUGCCGGGGUCAACUCGGAGGAAGGUGGGGAUGACGUCAAAUCAUCAUGCCCCUUAUGUCUUGGGCUUCACGCAUGCUACAAUGGCCGGUACAAAGGGCUGCGAUACCGUAAGGUGGAGCGAAUCCCAAAAAGCCGGUCUCAGUUCGGAUUGAGGUCUGCAACUCGACCUCAUGAAGUCGGAGUCGCUAGUAAUCGCAGAUCAGCAACGCUGCGGUGAAUACGUUCCCGGGCCUUGUACACACCGCCCGUCAAGUCAUGAAAGUCGGUAACACCCGAAGCCGGUGGCCUAACCUUUUGGAGGGAGCCGUCGAAGGUGGGAUCGGUGAUUAGGACUAAGUCAUAA